rnacentral:rRNA from 1 species
CCCUAGAUGUCCGGGGCCGCACGCGCGCUACACUGAAGGAAUCAGCGUGGCUUUCUCCCUGACCCGAAAGGGUUGGGAAACCCGUUGAAUCUCCUUCGUGAUAGGGAUUGGGGCUUGAAAUUGUUCCCCAUGAACGAGGAAUUCCCAGUAAGCGCGAGUCAUAAGCUCGCGUUGAUUACGUCCCUGCCCUUUGUACACACCGCCCGUCGCUACUACCGAUUGAACGGUUUAGUGAGGGCCUCGGAUUGGUCUCGGCCCGCUCUUUACCGGGCGGCGCCGUUGGUCGAGAAGACGCUCGAACUUGAUCGUUUAGAGGAAGUAAAAGUCGUAACA